rnacentral:rRNA from 1 species
AGUGAACGCUGGCGGUAGGCCUAACACAUGCAAGUCGAACGGCAGCACAGUAAGAGCUUGCUCUUACGGGUGGCGAGUGGCGGACGGGUGAGGAAUACAUCGGAAUCUACUUUUUCGUGGGGGAUAACGUAGGGAAACUUACGCUAAUACCGCAUACGACCUACGGGUGAAAGCAGGGGAUCUUCGGACCUUGCGCGAUUGAAUGAGCCGAUGUCGGAUUAGCUAGUUGGCGGGGUAAAGGCCCACCAAGGCGACGAUCCGUAGCUGGUCUGAGAGGAUGAUCAGCCACACUGGAACUGGGACACGGUCCAGACUCCUACGGGAUGCAGCAGUGGGGAAUAUUGGACAAAGGGCGCAAGCCUGAUCCAGCCAUACCGCGUGGGUGAAGAAGGCCUUCGGGUUGUAAAGCCCUUUUGUUGGGAAAGAAAAGCAGCAGGUUAAUACCCCGCUGUUCUGACGGUACCCAAAGAAUAAGCACCGGCUAACUUCGUG